rnacentral:rRNA from 1 species
UACAGAGGGUGCGAGCGUUAAUCGGAAUUACUGGGCGUAAAGCGUGCGUAGGUGGUCUGUUAAGUCAGGUGUGAAAUCCUUGGGCUCAACCUGAGAAUUGCAUUUGAAACUGGCGGACUGGAGUGUGGUAGAGGGUAGUGGAAUUCCAGGUGUAGCGGUGAAAUGCGUAGAUAUCGGGAGGAACACCGGUGGCGAAGGCGGCUUCCUGGACCGACACUGA